UACGUAGGUGGCAAGCGUUGUCCGGAUUUACUGGGCGUAAAGAGCGCGCAGGCGGUCGUUCAAGUCGCGUGUGAAAGCCCCCGGCUCAACUGGGGAGGGUCACGCGAUACUGAUCGACUCGAAGGCAGGAGAGGGUAGUGGAAUUCCCGGUGUAGUGGUGAAAUGCGCAGAUAUCAGGAAGAACACCCGUGGCGAAGGCGGCUCUCUGGGACGGUACUGACGCUGAGACGCGAAAGCGUGGGGAGCGAACAGG
rnacentral:rRNA from 1 species